rnacentral:lncRNA from 13 species
ACAGUACCAGCAGAGACACGCAUACAGUGAGCGCCAAAAGUAUUGGGAGAGUGACACAUUUGUUUUUGUUUUGGCUCUGUACUCCAGCACUUCGGAUUUGAUAUAAUACAAUGACUAUGAGGUUAAUGUGCAGACUGUCAGCUCUAAUUUGAGGGUUUUUCAUCCAUAUCGGAUGAAAAUUACAACACGUUUUGUACAUAAUCCCCCCAUUUUAGGGGACCAAAGGUAUUGGGACAAAUUCACUUAUAUGUGUAUUAAAGUAGUCAAAAGUUGAGUAUUUGGUCCCAUAUUCACAGCAGGUAAUGACAACAUUAAGCUUGUGACUCUACAAACUUGUUGGAUGCAUUUGCUGUUUGUUUUGGUUGUGUUUCAGAUUAUUUUGUGCCCAAUAGAAGCGAAUGGUAAAUAAUGUAUUGUGUUAUUUUGGAGUCACUUUUAUUGUAAAUAAGAAUAUAGUAUGUUUCUAAACACUUCUACAUUAAUGUGGAUGCUACCAUGGUUACAGAUAAUCCUGAAUGAAUCCUGAAUAAUGAUGAGUGAAAAUGUUACAGAAGCACAAAUAUCAUAUCCCCAAGACAUGCUAAAUUUUCACCAUUACAAUAACAGAGGUUAGCAUUUUUUUUUGGGGGGGGGGGCAUAACAUUUGUGUGUAUGUAACUUUCUCACUCAUCAUUAUUCACAAUUCAUUCAGGAUUAUCUAAUAGUAAUGGUAUCAUCCACAUGAAUGUAGAAGUGUUACGAAACAUAGUCUAUUCUUACUUACAAUGACUCCAAAAUGACACAUUACAUCAUUACAUUACAUCUGCACUUUAAAAUCACAGUCAUUACAAAUCCAAAGUGCUGGAGUUCAGAGCCAAAACAACACAACAUGUGUCUCUGUCCCAAUACUUCUGGAGCUCACUGUAUCUUACCUGACGAAGGAAGGCGCUGGAUUGGACCAACCGGAUCACAAGACCUUGUGGAGCUCUCCCAUUGGUUCACCUAAGAAAAGAGCGGGAAAAAUACUCCUUUGACUUCAAGCUUUCUAUGAAGAUUCAUGGAAUGUUGCAUAACAUGGACAUCUAAAACGGGACAAAAUCACAAUACAGAAAUUGCCUCUUCAAUAUUGCUAUUUAAUUUUUAUGUACACUCACCUCCGUUUAUCAUAGCUGACUGUUGCUUUCUGUUCUCUGAAACCAUUCUAUUUGUUUUAUUGUUGCAAUGAUCACAUAUAAUUAGUUUCGUUUUUUAAAGAUUUUUUUCUGAAAAAAAUCAGUGUGUAUGUAUAAUAUCUAAUUGAUGCCGAGUACAGUAAUAAUAGAACAGAGAAAUAUAUCAAUAAAACUGCUUUGUUUUCUGAAAGCAUUUUGAAUCUUCUUUUUUUUAUAUAUGUCAAAUAAUGUUUUGACUCGUGGCUUUAGUUAAUGAUCACCUCCAAAGAGGUAUAUUUGUAAUUUAGCAAAGAAAACCACCUCUGUUUUGAAUUCAAAUUCCACUUCACAUAUCACAUGCAAUAGAAUAAAUAUAGUAAUCAGAGACUUUAACACCCAGUAGAACCCAGCUUCAUAAAUGAAUACUGAAUCUCAAUGGAAGAAAGGAAUAGUCAAAUCUCUAUGGAGCUGACUCUGCCAGUCCAGCAGGCAUUGCUGGCAUUACCCAAUACCAGUGGUGUAAAGUACUUUAGUAAAAAAAUACUUUAACGCACUACUUAAGUAGUUUUUUGGGGUACCUGUACAUUACUUUAAAUUUUUUGACAACUCUGACUUUUACUCCACUACAUUCCUAAAAAAAUAAUGUACUUCUUACUCCUGACAUUUUCCCUGACACACAAAAGUACUCCUUACAUGUUUAAUGCUUAGCAGGACAGGAAAAUUGUCUAAUUCACUUAUCAAGAGAACAUCCCUGGCCACCCCUACUGCCUCUGAUCUGGCAGACUCACUAAACACAAAUGCUUCGUUUGUAAAUUAUGUCUGACUGUUGAAGUGUGCCCUUGGCUAUCCGUAAAUUUUAAAAAUAAGAAAAUUGUGCCUUCUGGGUUGCAUAAUAUACGGAAUCUAAAAUGAUUUAUACUUUUACUUUC